rnacentral:rRNA from 1 species
UACAGAGGGGGCAAGCGUUGUUCGGAAUUACUGGGCGUAAAGGGCGCGUAGGCGGCCUGUUAAGUCGAACGUGAAAUCCCCGGGCUCAACCCGGGAACUGCGUCCGAUACUGGCAGGCUUGAAUCCGGGAGAGGGAUGUGGAAUUCCAGGUGUAGCGGUGAAAUGCGUAGAUAUCUGGAGGAACACCGGUGGCGAAGGCGGCAUCCUGGACCGGUAUUGACGCUGAGUGAGCGAAAGCCAGGGGGAGCAAAACGGGG